AAUAUACAUCACCAACUGCAAAACCAAAGGACUGAGCGCAUCAACUGUUUACAAGAUGAAUCAUCUGUAUGAAAUGGCGGCAAUCACAGAGGCAGACUUCAACCUACGUGCCAGCCUCCUCACCUUGUCAUGACUGUAAAAGCUGGAUUAAAUGGGCUUGUCUAUAUUGGGUGCCUAGUUACCAGGCUGCUUCCAAAGUGGAUACUGUGGCCAUCAGUGACUCCUUCCUUGACCUCAGCAAUAGGGACUACGUGUCCAGAAAUGAUUCUACCCAUGGCAAGUUCAACGGCAUCAUCAAGGCUGAGAACAGUCCCAUCCAAGACCCAUGAAGAAGGAAGGACCUGAGAGUCUUCCCUUGUUGAAUACCAUUGCUGCCAUCAAGAAAAUUUCCACUGUGUACAAUGCGGGUGCAGUUAAGAAAAUAAAACACAUGGAGACACAUGAAAUAGACAUUAUAAUCACUGGCAUUAUAAUCCUACACACUAUACUGAAAAAAAAGCAUGAUGGCCUGUAAUUUAUACAUUGAUUCAAAGCAAUUAUUACCAGGGACUUGAGAUCUUUGUCAUUUCGCCAUGGGAACAGCCCUACAAGUGGGUCUCACAUGUCCCUUGAAGGUGGAUUUGAAUACUGAAAGAAAGUGAACCUAUACAAAUAAAUCUACGCUCUUAACACUUUAAAACAAGAAUUCACCAUGCUCUCUUCCCUUUAUUUUAG
rnacentral:lncRNA from 1 species